CGGCAACAGCUCAAAUUUGAAAUCUGGCUCUUUCAGGGUCCGAGUUGUAAUUUGUAGAAGAUGCUUCGAGUUUUGGCCCAGUCUAAGUUCCUUGGAACAGGACGUCAUAGAGGGUGAGAAUCCCGUAUGUGACUGGUGCUCUUGCUCAUGUGAAGCUCUUUCGAC
rnacentral:rRNA from 1 species